rnacentral:lncRNA from 1 species
GACAAACUUGGCACCUGCGGGAAAGCCAGCAUGUCCCAGCCCUCGGUUCCAAGAAACAGUGCGCCAACACCUGGCCCAAGGACCACAGACUGCCCUGUCUUUGUCCCCAGGCUCUUCCUGGCAACAACAAAUUCUCAGACCAGUGCCUGGCAACCGCCUAGCAACCACUUCGCUACUUAAAUCCGAGCUCUCCCCCAGUCUGCAGUGAUUCUGGCUUGCCGUCAGCCCACCUGUUGGUGCUUGAGUGACUAAAACAGCUUCAUCUGCUCCCACACGGGCAAGCCUGGGUGGUUUCUCUGCUCUCCGGUCAGAAUUUGGAAGAAUAUUGCACCAAGUGGGGAAAGAAUCAGAUUUAAAGCCCGGAAACAAAGAUUUUACAGAGCAUAGAUUUUCCAUUGUGGGAGAACCAAGUGCUGGCCACAGAGCAGAUUGGAGGAGGCAGCACGCAGCGGAGCUUUUCCUCCUUAGUUCGAGAGACUUUGCUCGGCCAGCAGGUGGAAAACUCUGGAGUGGGCUCCACCCUGUCCCACUGGCCCCUCCCUCACAGAGCAGAUACUGGAAACAUCCCUGUGGUUUUAGGAAGAGGAAGCAGCCAAGAAGCGAUUGACAUAAAAAACAAAUCAACUAGCUUCGUGGAUGGUAAAUGGCAUCAGGAGCGCUGGUUCUGCUGAGAAAGGGCGGUGAUAUCAAACAGUAGGGUACUCGGGUGAGGAUCCCAGGAAGGCGGAGGUGUCCGCCAGGGGAAGGGACCUCCUUCUCCAAGCUGCAGUUGAUGGCUUGGGACGUGAGGUGGGCGGUGGAACGUGCCCCAGGAUGCAGUUUAUUCUUGUUGAUUUAGAACUACUCCAAACUGGGAAAUCUGGGAAAAGGCAAACGAACACCGGGGAGCUUUGAACUUGUGCGAUUUUUAUGUAAGUUUUUAAUCACCUUAAAAUCAAAAGAGGGGGCGAAAGGAGGAAAGGAGGAAGAAGAGAGGAAGGAGGAAAAAGGAAGGAAAAAGAAGGAAGGAG